UGAGGAAUAUUGGACAAUGGGGGCAACCCUGAUCCAGCAAUGCCGCGUGAGUGAUGAAGGCCUUCGGGUUGUAAAACUCUUUCGCCGGGGACGAUAAUGACGGUACCCGUAGAAGAAGCUCCGGCUAACUUCGUGCCAGCAGCCGCGGUAAUACGAAGGGGGCUAGCGUUGUUCGGAAUUACUGGGCGUAAAGCGCGCGCAGGCGGUUUUUCAAGUCAGUGGUGAAAGCCCGGAGCUCAACUCCGGAACUGCCAUUGAAACUGUAAAACUUGAGGAUGAGAGAGGUGAGUGGAAUUCCCAGUGUAGAGGUGAAAUUCGUAGAUAUUGGGAAGAACACCAGUGGCGAAGGCGGCUCACUGGACUGGUAUUGACGCUGAGGUGCGAAAGCGUGGGGAGCAAA
rnacentral:rRNA from 1 species